rnacentral:lncRNA from 1 species
AAACAUCAACAUGACAUCUAAAGUACAAAUUCCAAGAGGGCAACGAACUAACAUGUUAAAAACAAAACUAUAUUGGACUAGUCUCACUAAAAUUGCUAGCCCACAUCACCACAAUUAACCAUAAGCCCAAAAAAAGGCCACAAACUCAACAUGACCCUAAAGCAAUCCAUGAGCCUAAAUGAACUCUACCACCACCACACGAUGAAGUGUCGUCGUGGCCACACCCACCAUUGCAUCCGUAACAUAUAUGGGGAAAAUAUAUUGGGUGAUUCCGUCAAGGACGAUGUAGAAACAAAUUUAGAGCAUGAGCAUUGUUAUAGUGUGGGUUUUGAAAGAAUGAUUUGAUUGAGAACAUAGCCUAAAAGGGGUGAUGGGGAACUUCAAUCUAAGCAGGGCUCAAAAAAAAUCACCACAAAGAGACUUCUUAAUCAAAAUGCCUGAGUGGACUUAUUCACUAACCCAAAAGGAAAAAACAAGAAGAGAGGAGGGGGAGAAGGGGCAGUGAGGAGAGAGAGAGAGAGGCUAGAGAUUCACAGACUAUCAAUGUAAUCUUCUUUUGAUAAAAAUAAAAAAUAAAAAACCAAUACAAGUUUAUUAGAUUAAACAGAAAAAAGAAUAUAAAGGAAAAAAU